CAUGCAAGUCGAACGGUGAUGACCAGCUUGCUGGUCGGAUCAGUGGCGAACGGGUGAGUAACACGUGAGUAACCUGCCCCAGACUCUGGGAUAAGCCUUGGAAACGAGGUCUAAUACUGGAUAUGAGAUGCCCCUGCAUGGGGAGUGUCUGGAAAGAUUUAUCGGUCUGGGAUGGACUCGCGGCCUAUCAGCUUGUUGGUGGGGUAAUGGCCUACCAAGGCGACGACGGGUAGCCGGCCUGAGAGGGCGACCGGCCACACUGGGACUGAGACACGGCCCAGACUCCUACGGGAGGCAGCAGUGGGGAAUAUUGCACAAUGGGCGCAAGCCUGAUGCAGCGACGCCGCGUGAGGGAUGAAGGCCUUCGGGUUGUAAACCUCUUUCAGCAGGGAAGAAGCGCAAGUGACGGUACCUGCAGAAGAAGCGCCGGCUAACUACGUGCCAGCAGCCGCGGUAAUACGUAGGGCGCAAGCGUUGUCCGGAAUUAUUGGGCGUAAAGAGCUCGUAGGCGGUUUGUCGCGUCUGGUGUGAAAACUCAAGGCUCAACCUUGAGCUUGCAUCGGGUACGGGCAGACUAGAGUGCGGUAGGGGUGACUGGAAUUCCUGGUGUAGCGGUGGAAUGCGCAGAUAUCAGGAGGAACACCGAUGGCGAAGGCAGGUCACUGGGCCGCAACUGACGCUGAGGAGCGAAAGCAUGGGGAGCGAACAGGAUUAGAUACCCUGGUAGUCCAUGCCGUAAACGUUGGGCACUAGGUGUGGGGCUCAUUCCACGAGUUCCGUGCCGCAGCAAACGCAUUAAGUGCCCCGCCUGGGGAGUA
rnacentral:rRNA from 1 species